UACGAAGGGUGCAAGCGUUACUCGGAAUUACUGGGCGUAAAGCGUGCGUAGGUGGUUUGUUAAGUCUGUUGUGAAAGCCCCGGGCUUAACCUGGGAACUGCGUUUGAUACGGAUGGGCUAGAGUUCGGGAGAGGAGAGUGGAAUUCCCAGUGUAGAGGUGAAAUUCGUAGAUAUUGGGAAGAACACCGGGUGGCGAAGGCGGCUCUCUGGACCGAGACUGACGCUGAGGCGCGAAAGCGUGGGGAGCAAACAGGG
rnacentral:rRNA from 1 species